AUACGGAGGGUGCAAGCGUUAUCCGGAAUCAUUGGGUUUAAAGGGUCCGUAGGCGGAUUAUUAAGUCAGAGGUGAAAUCCCACAGCUUAACUGUGGAACUGCCUUUGAUACUGGUAGUCUUGAGUUAUAUGGAAGUAGAUAGAAUGUGUAGUGUAGCGGUGAAAUGCAUAGAUAUUACACAGAAUACCGAUUGCGAAGGCAGUCUACUACGUAUAUACUGACGCUAAUGGACGAAAGCGUGGGGAGCGAACAGGAUUAGAUACCCCAGUAGUCC
rnacentral:rRNA from 1 species